AAGGGAGCGUAGGCGGCAAGGCAAGUCAGAUGUGAAAGACCGGGGCUCAACUCCGGGGUUGCAUUUGAAACUGUCUAGCUAGAGUGUCGGAGAGGUAAGCGGAAUUCCUGGUGUAGUGGUGAAAUGCGUAGAUAUUAGGAGGAACAUCUGUGGCGAAGGCGGCUUACUGGACGAUAACUGACGCUGAGGCGCGAAAGCGUGGGGAGCAAACAGGAUUAGAUACCCUGGUAGUCCCACGCCGUAAAC
rnacentral:rRNA from 1 species